GACCCAAUAGCACAGUGGUUAGUGUGCCAGUAAUUUGUGGCGCGGCUGGUAAUAUAAGCUGGAGAUCCCUGUUCGAUUCGGGGUUGGGUCA